rnacentral:rRNA from 1 species
UGGGGAAUAUUGCACAAUGGGCGAAAGCCUGAUGCAGCAACGCCGCGUGAGUGAUGAAGGCCUUCGGGUUGUAAAGCUCUGUCUUCUGGGACGAUAAUGACGGUACCAGAGGAGGAAGCCACGGCUAACUACGUGCCAGCAGCCGCGGUAAUACGUAGGUGGCAAGCGUUGUCCGGAUUUACUGGGUGUAAAGGGUGCGCAGGCGGACCGAUAAGUCGGGGGUUAAAUCCAUGUGCUUAACACAUGCACGGCUUCCGAUACUGUCGGUCUAGAGUCUCGAAGAGGAAGGUGGAGUUUCCGGUGUAACGGUGGAAUGUGUAGAUAUCGGAAAGAACACCAGUGGCGAAGGCAGCCUUCUGGUCGAGAACUGACGCUCAUGCACGAAAGCGUGGGGAGCAAACA